rnacentral:rRNA from 1 species
CAGUAGCCGCGGUAAUACGUAGGUCCCGAGCGUUGUCCGGAUUUAUUGGGCGUAAAGCGAGCGCAGGCGGUUAGAUAAGUCUGAAGUUAAAGGCUGUGGCUUAACCAUAGUACGCUUUGGAAACUGUUUAACUUGAGUGCAAGAGGGGAGAGUGGAAUUCCAUGUGUAGCGGUGAAAUGCGUAGAUAUAUGGAGGAACACCGGUGGCGAAAGCGGCUCUCUGGCUUGUAACUGACGCUGAGGCUCGAAAGCGUGGGGCGCGAACAGGAUUAGAUACCCCUGUAGUCCCUGUCUCUUAUACA